rnacentral:misc_RNA from 1 species
GUUUAUGUACAAGAUAGAUAUGUACGGUUAAUAUUCAUAAUAACCUUCCGGGCGCGGGUGGUUGUGAGCUAAGCAGCUAAACACAAUGAGGUGCAAGGUUCAAAUCCUACUUAUGUAGCCUUAAAUUUUAAUUAUUUUUCUCCGACAUAAAACCGAUUUAUCCCAAGACAAAUACACCACUUGUAUAAUUCUCGAUUAAACUGGUCUGACCGAUCAAGCCGAUCCGAUUAUAACAACUAUGGUACAAACAAAAUCCAAAUGCAAAAGAAAAAAAAAAGGGGGCUGAUUUUUCUCCUUUUGAGUCUUUGGUGUCCAGGUUAGAAGUAACCCAAGUAUUUGUGAAAAGAGUAACUCCCAUGCACAAAGCAUCUCAAACUUCCGAAAAGAAAUAUAAAAAGAAAAAUAAAAUCCUUCAAAAGAGGCUGCCGCCCUUUUCCUUUCUUCAUAAACCCUGUAUAUAAAGAUCCGUGUAGAUUUGUGCAAUGCUAUAUAAACCCAAAAAAUGGAUGGGGAAAAACAUCCACAUCUAUUAACUUUGUAUUUGAAAGUUUGAAGGCAAUGCUGUAAAUCCUCGUGCCUUUGUUCUGAUCAACCUGAAAACCACACAAGGAAAAAAAAAAGCGCAUUAUAUAUCCGUAUAUUUCAGCAACAAAUGCCACUCGAAAGAUUGCCACUUGAAAGAUUUAACUUUCAGUUCGAUCUUACUUUGAGGAUUUCUAUGCUGAGAAAAUCUAGGAAAGAACUUAUGCAAGGGCGUCUCCGGAACGGGUAUCAAUUUGCCAACAAAAGCAAGAGGCCAACUAGCAAAGAACCAAAACAAGAAAAGAAAAAGAAAAAAAAUUCAUUAGUCGAGCACAAAUUACCUAACAAUAAUCGGUUGCUAAGAUCUAGUUUGCAAUCUAUAAUGGCAAAGUCCUCUUAUAAGUUGUAACCACAGUCCAUUCUGCAGCCAAGGUACAGGAUUUAAAGUUCCUUUAUAAUUUAUAACAAUCCUAAAGAAACGAAGGUCGAAGAAAAUUGCAUACGAAUUCACAUUUGCCAUGCUAAUGCCAUAGAAAUAUAUGAAGCAACGGCCAUCGCUAACCUGAUAAAACCAAUAGCAACAGAAACCAACCAUUGUUUCCAAUUCAGCUUUACAGUUGACGUAAACUUCCCAAUAAACUCGAUGAUAAUGAUCUGUAAAAAAACAUCAGAAGGGAAAAUAUCUAUGUGAACAUAAAUUGUCACAAAAGAUACAAAAAGCCCUACCAAACGGGAGAAAUUUAGAAGCCUGCCUGAAGAACGAGUGUAAUUGCAACUAUCCCCAUGAAAAGAUG